AUGGCCCCUUCUCCCUGGCCUCCUGGCAAUACCACAUCACUCACUGCGCAGGGAGUGGCCCAGCACCCGACUGGGGGACACACACAGACCACCUCCUCCUGUCCAGGGCUGGACUUUGAUGAGAGCUGUGCUGAGGCCCAGGAUGGGGAGCUGGAUGGGGAGCUGGAUGGGGAGCUGGAUGGGCUGUGGACAACCAUCACCAUCUUCAUCACCCUCUUCCUGCUCAGCGUGUGCUACAGCGCCACGGUCACCCUCCUCAAGGUUGGCACACUGCCCCCAAUGCCCAUGCUACCCGUGCUGUCCCUGUGAUGGCCCACACUGAUCCAUGCUGUCC